CGGGCUGUAGCGCAGCUUGGUAGCGCAUCUGCUUUGGGAGCAGAGGGUCGCAGGUUCAAAUCCUGUCAGCCCGA
rnacentral:tRNA from 1 species